UGGCUCAGUUGGUAGAGCAUGGUGUGUGCAAUGCCAAGGUUGUGGGUUCGAAUCCCAC
rnacentral:tRNA from 1 species